rnacentral:rRNA from 1 species
CCUACGGGGGGCAGCAGUGGGGAAUAUUGCACAAUGGGGGAAACCCUGAUGCAGCGACGCCGCGUGAGUGAAGAAGUAUUUCGGUAUGUAAAGCUCUAUCAUCAGGGAAGAAAAUGACGGUCCCUUAUUAAGAAGCCCCGGCUAACCACGUGCCAGCAGCCGCGGUCAUACGUAGGGGGCAAGCGUUAUCCGGAUUUACUGGGUGUAAAGGGAGCGGAGACGGCAGCACAAGUCUGGAGUGAAAUGCCGGGGCUUAACCCCGGAACUGCUUUGGAACCUGUGCAGCUAGAGGGCAGGAGAGGUAAGUGGAAUUCCUAGUGUAGCGGUGAAAUGGGUAGAUAUUAGGAGGAAAACCAGUGGCGAAGGCGGCUUACUGGACUGUAACUGACGUUGAGGCUCGAAAGCGUGGGGAGCAAACAGGAUUAGAUACCCAGUAGUC